rnacentral:lncRNA from 1 species
UGGAUAAACUAGAUUUGUAGUCAAGGAAUCCCCAAUAGCAGUAGUUACGUGUAGCAAAUAAUCUAGUGGUUUAGGUUGAAUGCCCAAGUGACAAGCAAAAUAUUGUGAAACAAAAGAUAAGUUGGAACCAUGAUCAAACAAAACUUUUGCAUUUCUAUUAGAAACAUAUAGAAUACCUUCAACCACUGAUUUAGAGGCUCUGGAAUCUUAUUCUGUAAUAGCAUAUACUCUAGCAUGGGCUGUUGGCUUAGGG